CCGCAAGGGUCGAAGGGAAAAAAUUCAUUCGCCGUUUUCGAACGCCAGGCGUUCGGGCGGAAGUUCUUCGUUGCGAACGGGAACCGUUGGCGUUUCUUCUUUAACCGAACGAAACGUUCGUUGUUGCGUUCUCGCGCCCUUCCGUUCCUUCGAACCGGCGACGAACGCGUUGCACUUUUCUCCUGGUAGGACGUCGCGAUCCGUCGGGCGUCGGUCUACGACUAUGUUCUCGCGGUGGAGACCGUCCGUCGUCGUCAGUACGUACGGGACGGACCCGCUAGUUCCGGCCGACUCGCUCGACGGUACACCCGAUGUACGGUCGGAGGCCGCUCUAUCGUGUCUCUCCUUUUUUGACCCCUUUAAUCGGGGGGCUCAGAGAACGAGAAAGAUGCGUUCGUAGCGUUCGACUCGUCGCAAGCGCGUCACGUGCGUCGGCACGCGGACCUCGUGCCGCGUCCGACCUCUGGCGACUGUUGGCGACGACGUUCUCGGACGGACCUCUUUUGUUUUUUCCGUUUAUUUCCUUUUUUUUGCGGUCCUCGCUUUCCGAUUUUCUUUUCUUUUCUCGUUUCUCUCUGCGCGCUUCGUCGUGCGUGGAAAAAACGAGCGAGAGAGAGAGAACACGGCGGGAGGGGUCGCGGAGGAGGAAAAUCGAACGGAGGAAACGUUGACCAAUCGGCGACGCUAUAGCUUUGGGUACUCUCGGGACCCGUCUUGAAACACGGACCAAGGAGUCUAGCACGUACGCGAGUCAUUGGGAAUUUUACUAAACCCAAAGGCGCAAUGAAAGUGAAAUCGCCCCCGGGCCGGGGGGGUAGUUCGAAGGUGCGUUUUCUCGUUCGCGCGAAAACGUUCCGACGUUCUCUCACCGACGGGGGAGGGGGGAAGACGGACGGACGGACGACGACGUUUUCGACGACGUCGUCGUCGGUGUCGUGUCCCGCAUUCCCGGGGCGUCUCGUUCGCGCGCGAGCUCCGAGUUCGCGCGCGAAGAGGCGCACCAAGAGCGUACGCGCUGGGACCCGAAAGAUGGUGAACUAUGCCUGGUCAGGACGAAGUCAGGGGAAACCCUGAUGGAGGUCCGUAGCGAUUCU
rnacentral:rRNA from 1 species